ACCGGGAAAGGGCCCAGCCCCGCUGGGAAGGGGUCCCAGCGGCCCGGCAGGACGGGGCCCAGUGGACUCCCUGGUGAGGGGCUCGGCAGCCUGCUCAGCACCCCUCAGGGGAGAAAAUCUCAGCUGGGCUGCAUGGGGAACGCCUGGUCUGGCCACGCAGGCCCAGUCCGACUGGCACCCAGUGACAUCUUCAAAGCUGGAAGCCAAGAGAGAGAUUUCCAGGGCUUGCCUGUGUUUAAAAUGUGAAUCUCACAGAGGCGGACACAGCUUCUAAAAUAUUCAAUAGCACGUCAAUUCCCAGAGCUAGCCAGCUAUUGGAUUUUGCUAAGCACAGAGGAAGCUCUUAGCAGCCCCUCCCAAAAAAAUCAUCUCCAUAGGUGGCUUCUUCUCUUUCACCAAAUAUCAAUAAAUGCAAAAUCAGCACAACAGUAAAAGGAAACGAAAUAUAGGAUGUUGGGUUAUUGUCAGACAACCAGAUUUAUCUCCACUUGGUGUGAAAAGACUCUUGUAUGAAGCAGAAAUACAGGGGUCCAUCCAACGCAAGAGUGGAAAAGAAUGAAAGGAGCUUUUCACCACUGGACAGAUGGAUGUGGACAGAAGAAAAUGGAUAUGGACAGAAAUGUGGACAGAAGACUUAUGAUAAUGUCACCCUCUCACAGAAGGAAGCUGGUGUUUACUGCACUACCUUCAUAGCCUGUCCAAAGGGAGUGCUAUUAUUAUGCAGUACAAGAGAACUAGCCACUUCUAAAGAAAAACUGAAGUAUUUUCCAGGAGAAAGUAAAUCAUAUAGAGGUAAGAACAGUCAGGAAUAACUAUCUGCCUGUGAAAUAAUAACCAUGUACAUUACUGUUUUCAGUAAUUUUAUCUUUUCCUCUCUGUUUUAAAAAUUUAGAAAUGUUGAAGUUAUACAAAUUUUGAAUUUCUAUUUUUUUUUGUCACCUAAUUAAAAUAUUCUUAGACUAUAGAAUUUUCUUAUGGUGAGGAGCCUUGAACUACAACUGUAAUUAUUAAAGUUUAAUCAGCAGAUCCUUUUGAAUAUGCAAAGUAUCAAAAGUCCAGGGUAAAACUGAGACUAUAUAAACUUUGACCAAUAUUUGGUAAGGGCAAAAAAUAACAUUAUCUGUGCCUUUAGCAGAGAACAUCCAGCUUCCUGCUCCAUAUAUGAGAUUUUUUCCUAGUAAUAACAUGGGUCUAGAUAUAUAAAAUUAAAUCAAUUAUCAACUUUCUGGAACACAAAAUUAAAAAGUGAUCACUCAAAACAUUAUCUAAGCUUUGUACCAUUUCAGUUGACUCUGAAUUCCACUAUUAGUGCCACCUACUGCUCAAAUGCUGGAUUUAAUGACUAUAUCCAAAAAGUCUGUGGUAUGUGCAUCAGUUUCCAUAGUUCAUAAUAGAUUUAGUACACCACUUUCUUUAAUGAAAUAUGACCAUUUCUUUCACUUGUUUUAAGGAGAUGGUAAAUCAUGAGAGUAAUCAAUAUGCUUGAGAUAAUUACAAAAAUGUGGGGGAAAAAAAUUUAGUUAAAAAGUAAGAAUAAUUUACCAUAAUCCAAAUUAAUAAUAUAAAUCUUUUAAAUGCUGUGCUGGUGGUAUUUCAAAAUAUGAACACUAGCACUUGAUGACAGGUCUAUCAUCAUUAUUUAAGAUUUGAUCAAUACAUUUUUGAAAUAUAUAGAUAUUUGUUAAUGAAGUGAAAAAACACCAGAAAACAGAAGUCCUAAAAGAUAAAACCUUCAAAAUCCUUGAUUUUUAAUUAUUAGAACAGUCAAUUUAUUUUUAAACUUAGCUUAUUAUUUCAAAUAUUUAUAUUUAC
ensembl:lncRNA